CGGGGGGAGCAAGCGUUGUUCGGAUUUACUGGGCGUAAAGGGCGCGUAGGCGGCCACCGCAAGUCGACUGUGAAAUCUCCGGGCUUAACCCGGAAAGGUCAGCCGAUACUGCGGGGCUAGAGUGCAGAAGGGGCAACUGGAAUUCUCGGUGUAGCGGUGAAAUGCGUAGAUAUCGAAAGGAACACCUGCGGCGAAGGCGGGUUGCUGGGCUGACACUGACGCUGAGGCGCGAAAGCUAGGGGAGCGAACGGGAUUAGAUACCCCGGUAGUCCUAGCCUUAAACGAUGAAUGCUUGGUGUCUGGGGUUUUAUAGUCCCCGGGUGCCGUCGCUAACGCUUUAAGCAUUCCGCCUGGGGAGUACGGUCGCAAGACUG
rnacentral:rRNA from 1 species